AGUGAACGCUGGCGGUAGGCCUAACACAUGCAAGUCGAACGGCAGCACAGUAAUAGCUUGCUCUUACGGGUGGCGAGUGGCGGACGGGUGAGGAAUACAUCGGAAUCUACUUUUUCGUGGGGGAUAACGUAGGGAAACUUACGCUAAUACCGCAUACGACCUACGGGUGAAAUCAGGGGAUCUUCGGACCUUGCGCGAUUGAAUUAGCCGAUGUCGGAUUAGCUAGUUGGCGGGGUAAAGGCCCACCAAGGCGACGAUCCGUAGCUGGUCUGAGAGGAUGAUCAGCCACACUGGAACUGAGACACGGUCCAGACUCCUACGGGAGGCAGCAGUGGGGAAUAUUGGACAAUGGGCGCAAGCCUGAUCCAGCCAUACCGCGUGGGUGAAGAAGGCCUUCGGGUUGUAAAGCCCUUUUGUUGGGAAAGAAAAGCAGCAGGUUAAUACCCCGCUGUUCUGACGGUAACCAAAGAAUAAGCACCGGCUAACUUCGUG
rnacentral:rRNA from 1 species